CAGCUGGACUCAGUUUAGAUGAUCCCAAUUUUGUUGGCAACAUCCAAAGCAUCAUAGUCAGGAGCCAAUGGAACAUAUGCUUUCUUUUCUCCAUUGGGCCUGAUCAGAGUGUUGACCUUGACAAUGUCAAUGUCAUAGAACUUCUUUACAGCCUGUUUGAUCUGGUGCUUGUUGGCCUUGACAUCCACAAUAAACACAAGAGUGUUGUUGUCUUCUAUUUUCUUCAUGGCUGACUUGGCAGUUAGGGGAAACUUGAUGAUGGCAUAGCGGUCAAGCUUGUUCCUCCUGGGGGCGCUCUUUCGAGGAUAUUUGGGCUGCUUUCGGACAUGCGGUGUCUUGGGCCAUCGGAAGGUAAAUGACGUGCAGAUCUUCUUUUUUUUUUUUAUGACUGUGGACGCCUUUCAGCACUGCUUUCUUCGCCUUCAAAGCCCUUCCUUUGGCUUCAGCUUUGGGAGGAGCAGGGGCUUCCUUCUUCACCUUCGGCUCCAUCUUCGUGAUAGGG
rnacentral:lncRNA from 1 species